CCUACGGGUGGCAGCAGUGGGGAAUAUUGGGCAAUGGGCGCAAGCCUGACCCAGCAACGCCGCGUGAAGGAAGAAGGCUUUCGGGUUGUAAACUUCUUUUGACAGGGAAGAGUAGAAUACGUUACCUGUCGAAUAAGCCACGGCUAACUACGUGCCAGCAGCCGCGGUAAUACGUAGGGGGCAAGCGUGAUCCGGAUUUACUGGGGGUAAAGGGAGCGUAGGCGGUUUAGCAAGUCAGAAGUGAAAGCCCGGGGCUCAACCCCGGGACUGCAUUUGAAACUGUUGAACGAGAUUGUAGGAGAGGGAAGUGGAAUUCCAAGUGUAGCGGUGAAAUGCGUAGAGAUAAGGAAGAACACCAAUGGCGAAGGCGGAUGCUUGGGAGGCAACUGACGGUGAGGUGCGAAAGCGUGGGGAGCAAACAGGAUUAGAUACCCUUGUAGUC
rnacentral:rRNA from 1 species